rnacentral:rRNA from 1 species
GUCCAGGGGGCCGCCUUCGCCACCGGUAUUCCUCCAGAUCUCUACGCAUUUCACCGCUACACCUGGAAUUCUACCCCCCUCUACAAGACUCUAGCCUGCCAGUUUCGAAUGCAGUUCCCAGGUUGAGCCCGGGGAUUUCACAUCCGACUUGACAGACCGCCUGCGUGCGCUUUACGCCCAGUAAUUCCGAUUAACGCUUGCACCCUCCGUAUUACCGCGGCUGCUGGCACGGAGUUAGCCGGUGCUUCUUCUGCGAGUAACGUCAAUCACCGGGGUUAUUAACCUCAAUGCCUUCCUCCUCGCUGAAAGUACUUUACAACCCGAAGGCCUUCUUCAUACACGCGGCAUGGCUGCAUCAGGCUUGCGCCCAUUGUGCAAUAUUCCCCACUGCUGCCUCCCGUAGGAGUCUGGACCGUGUCUCAGUUCCAGUGUGGCUGGUCAUCCUCUCAGACCAGCUAGGGAUCGUCGCCUAGGUGAGCCAUUACCCCACCUACUAGCUAAUCCCAUCUGGGCACAUCCGAUGGCAAGAGGCCCGAAGGUCCCCCUCUUUGGUCCGAAGACGUUAUGCGGUAUUAGCUACCGUUUCCAGUAGUUAUCCCCCUCCAUCGGGCAGUUUCCCAGACAUUACUCACCCGUCCGCCACUCGUCAGCAAAGCAGCAAGCUGCUUCCUGUUACCGUUCGACUUGCAUGUGUUAGGCCUGCCGCCAG